rnacentral:rRNA from 1 species
GACGAACGCUGGCGGCGUGCCUAAUACAUGCAAGUAGAACGCUGAAGGAGGAGCUUGCUCUUCUGGAUGAGUUGCGAACGGGUGAGUAACGCGUAGGUAACCUGCCUGGUAGCGGGGGAUAACUAUUGGAAACGAUAGCUAAUACCGCAUAACAGUAGAUGUUGCAUGACAUUUGCUUAAAAGGUGCAAUUGCACCACUACCAGAUGGACCUGCGUUGUAUUAGCUAGUUGGUGGGGUAACGGCUCACCAAGGCGACGAUACAUAGCCGACCUGAGAGGGUGAUCGGCCACACUGGGACUGAGACACGGCCCAGACUCCUACGGGAGGCAGCAGUAGGGAAUCUUCGGCAACGGACGGAAGUCUGACCGAGCAACGCCGCGUGAGUGAAGAAGGUUUUCGGAUCGUAAAGCUCUGUUGUAAGAGAAGAACGAGUGUGAGAGUGGAAAGUUCACACUGUGACGGUAUCUUACCAGAAAGGGACGGCUAACUACGUG